GAAGGAAGGUGAGAGCAGUGGUGCAUUGGCUACAGCCCACAUCCAGAGUCCAGCUGCAGCGGUUCCUGGGCUUCGCCAACUUUUAUUGGCGCAGUAUCCGGGGCUACAGCACCCUGGCUUCCCCCUCGUCUGCACUCACUUCUCCAUUGACAUGGUCUCAAGCUGCUGAUGGGGUGUUCCGGGAUAUCAAACACCCCUUCACCACAGCUCCCAUCUUGGUUCAUUCGGAUCUGUCCCACCAGUUUGUGGUGGAGGUCGAUGCUUCUGAUGUUGGGGUUGGGGCUGUCCUGUCCCAGCGGUCUGCCCUGGACCUCAAGUUGGAACCCUGCACCUUCUCCCACUGCCUCAAUGAUACGGAGAGGAACUACGAUGUGGGGAAUUGUGAGCUGCUUGCAGUGAAGAUAGCGUUGGAAGAGUGGAGGCACUGGCUGGAGGGGGCGUCACAUCCAUUCAUCGUGUGGACCGACCACAAGAACCUGGAAUAUCUCAGCACCGCCAAGCGUCUCAAUUCCAGGCAGGCUAGAUGGGCCUACUGUUCAACUUCUCCCUCUCUUACCGGCCGGGAUCCAAGAAUGUUAAGCCAGAUAUAGCCCUACGACUACUACCCCAGAACCGGAGACAAUCCUUCCCACCUUGUGCCUGGCAACGGCACUCAGCUGGGGAAUAGGGAAGCAGGUUCGGGAGGUGCAGCAUUCCCAGCCCAAACCCUGAGGGUCCAGAUAAGCAGAUGUUCGUGCCUGACGCGGUCCGCUCCGCGGUCCUAGAGUGGACCCACUGCUCCAGUCGGACCCUGGCUUUUGUGCGACACCGCUUUCGGUGGCCUCCCAUGGUCCCUGAUGUCUCCGUAUUUGUCGUCGCUUGCACAGUUUGCGCACAACACAAGACUCCUCGGCAAGCUCAGACUGGUCGCCUCCAACCUCUGCCUGUCCCUCACCGUCCCUGGUCUCACAUUUCCCUGGACUUUGUCACAGGUUUUCCCCCAUCUGAUGGCAAAACCGCCAUCCUAACUGUGGUGCAUCGCUUAACCAAAGCAGCCCACUUCAUUCCUCUCCCAAAGCUACUCCCAGCUUCUGGAGCAGCACGUCUUCCGGAUCCAUGGUCUGCCCGUGGACAUGGUCGCCGACCGGGGUCCUCAGUUCUCAUCCCGGUUCUGGAAGGCGUUCUGCAUCCUCAUUGGGUCAUCGGCCAGCCUGUCCUCCGGGUUCCACCCCCAGUCCAACGGCUAGUCACAGGGAGUCAACCAGGACCUCGAGACAACUCUGCGCCGCCUGGUCUCCGCCAACCCCGCCACCUGGAGCCAGCAGCCUGUGUGGGUGGAACACACCCGCAACACCCUUCCCUGCUCUGCCACUGGCCUAUCGCCAUUUGAGUGUUCCCUGGGGUAUCAACCUCUGCUCUUCCCCGAGCAGGAAGAGGUGGUCAGCAUAGCUUCUACCCAGAUGUUUGUCCGACGGUGUCGUUAUACCUGGAGGAGAGCCCGGUUGGCCCUCAAGACCCCCUCCAGGUAUCGACGACAAGCGGAUCGCCACCGGAACCCGGUAUUGUCUCGGGCAGAAGGUUUUGACCAUUCUGCCUGCCUUGAACCUGAGAUUGCCUGCCAUUUUAUACCUUAUCCCACCGUUCUGGAUUAUUGACCCCUGCCUGCCGUUUUGGACCCUUUACACCCUUCCUGGAAUACUGAC
ensembl:lncRNA